GGAAAACGUAGAUAGUUAUGUUAAUAAGUAGAAAAAACUAAUCAAAGGUUUCUCAGAGAUAUUUGUCCCUAAUCAUUCGUAUGAAAUUAUCGGUUAGGUGACCUCUAACGUGGAAGAAAGAUCUGGAGAAGCGAGAUCAGGGCAUUUCCGGAAAUGCACGCUAUAGUAGUUGGUCAAGGCCAUCAGCUCAUUGAACAUCCUUCCACGGCGAGUACAAAGAAGAAUAUGGAACGACAGCCUGUCGAUCUAAGCAUUGGCGUACGACUCUUUAGCGCAAAACUGUACGUUCAAAUACAAAUUGUCUCUCGUUCAAAUUUUAUUUAAAAAGUAUCUAAGCAUAAUAAAACAAUCAGUUAAAUACUA